rnacentral:lncRNA from 1 species
GGGUCAAAAGGAAAUGUCGCCCUUGUUUACCUUACGUCGGUUGCCAUCUGAUGGCUGUCGAUUCCACCAAUAUAAACCUACACCUAGUUUGCAAAUUAAAGCAGUAUAGGGAGUAGGGUCGAUCCCACAGAGAUUGGAAUUACUGAAAAUUGUUUGUUUCUUGACCAGAUUAGUGUCUGGGCAGUUGUCGUGCCCGCGACGUUUAGGGGGGAAAUAAAAUAUGAAACCUGAAAUAAACACAAGAAAACGUAAAAAGUAAAAAGUAAAAGAUGAAAUAAAAAUAAAAAGAUGAAAUAAAAAUAAAAAACAAAAUAAUUUAAAGGAAAAUCAAUAAAACUUAGCUCAGCCUUAAGCACGGGUUUUCCCGUCUUUGACCCAUUCCUCGAAAUUAGGUGAACUCCUCUUUUUCGAUAAGCUAGUUAUAGCUACCAAGGACGCCUCGGACACCAACUCUUCCUUGUGUAAAUUAGUUAUGGAACGUCCUAUAACUAACCCUUACCGAUCGAACAACCUACGAAACGUUUGUGAUUUAGAACUCCGGCACCUUUGCGUUUUAGAAGAGCCUUCGAACCAAUGCCCUCAAACGUUGAGACAUUUAAUCUGGUUACUACUUCCCUUGACGGAACCAAAUAGCAAUUCUCACUUGGCACGCCAAUGUGUUCACGGAAGACCAAUUAGACAAUCGAUCCUUUCGGAAUUCCAACUGUACGUCUAGCCACACUAACUCAAACGACGUCUUUUUUGACUUAGUGUUGUCUUGACUUUGUGAGUUGACGAAGUCAUACUCUUAAUCCGGAGAAAUAAUAAAUAUCGAAAGUUGGGAGUUAAACAGCUCGGGUUCGUAACUCACGGGUUUUUUGACGGGGUUAACACCGGCUUAAAGCUGAAAGGGGUUUAGUGUGGCAUGAAUUUAAUCAUGCUUGAAGGUUAUGGAAAUGAUAGAAAUUAUAUGAAAAAAGAUAGUGGAAAUGGAUAGGAAAAAUUGCAAAGAGAAUUAGACAAAUUUUGUAAAAAGAAGACAAAAUAAUUUAAUGCUUAAUUGAAUUAAGAAAAAGAAAACAAAGUGGAUAAUGGAAUUCCAAAAUGAAAUAGGAAUGUAAAGACAAUUGAUUAAUGGAUGAUUUCCUAAAAACUAAAACCCCUUAUUUAUAUAGAUAGGGUUUACUAAAAAUAGCUUAAGAAAAUUAAUAUAAAAUCUAAAAUAAUAAUAAUUAAAAAUAAAUAAAAUUAAAAUAAACUUAAAAUAGAAUUUCCUAUUUUUGGCUUUUUACAAAGUCAAAUUUAUGACUAGUCCUUGGCUUGCUCCAUCUUUUCGCUUUGGCCCAUUACAAUAAUUUUCUUCUAAUUUGGCCCCUUUUCAGCUUGCUUUUGAUCAAUUGCAUCGCUGACAAGAAUUAAAUCAUAAAAACACUUAAUUAGCAGUAUUCAGUUCAUCAAUAAACCAAAUUAAGCAUAAAAAAUAUGUAAUUUGACAUGUUUAUCAAAUCCCCCUACUUAGCUCAUGCUUGACCUCAAACAUGUUGUUCUUUCAAACAUUAGAAUUAAUUCCACAAUUUAUUAAAAAUCGAGCCCCUUUUCCAUAUCCUCAAUCAAUGCAAACAACAUAGGCAAAAAGAAAUAAAUGUUCAAAAUAUACAUUUUAAUCAACAAGUGUCAUAAAAUUGAAAUAUGUCAACUAAACAAUUUCGCUAAAUUGAGAUUGAAUCCCAUAAUUUGCACAGCAUUAUUAAUUAACUAUGCAUCAGAAAAUUAAUAGACAAGAUCAAACCUUUUUACGCGAACUAGGGUGACAACCCAAGCACCCUAUCCUGGUUACUCAGUUCAAACAGUCUUUAUUUAUUAUGUAUUAUUUUUUCUCUCUUUCUUUAUUUUAUAGGGUGUUCAGCUAGCGGAAUGUUUGUAAGUUAUCAACUUGUCACUCGAACCUUUUUACGCGAGACAAGAUGACAACCCAAGCACCCUGCCCCGGUUACUCAAUUCGGUCACGUUUUUGAAACUUCAUUCAUAGCCUGAACCUUUAUUAAUUUAUUUAUGCACAAGCAAACAUAUUUUAUUCAAUCAAUCAAUUCAUGCGAAAAAAUUCUAGCUACAUAUACCAAUUUUUAAAACCUAAAUGUCGAGCAAUCUAUAUACUUAAACAUUUAGUUCGAAAUUUGCCCAAUUGCUUAAAUCGACUAAGUAUGAGGUUUUAAGGCUCAAAUGUUGAAUAAAUUGUCGAAAGAAUUCAUCGUAAGAUUGAACACAUGCAAAAGAAAAAGACAUGCAGCAAAAAUUAACAUAUCAAUCCAACCCCCCCAACUUAAACUAUGCUUGUCCUCAAGCAUGUAAAAUAAAGUCAGCAACUUAAAAUGAAAAGGUUUAGAACACUCCCCGUGUAUUUUAAUGACAUCGUUGGUGUUGAGACUCGCGACUUUGCAGGAUAUUGAGGAUGGUGGCGACUUUUGUUUCCAUUGUUUCAAGUCUAGCUUCGAUUCGACUUAAACGGGCCUCCACAGUCAAAGGGUGUUCCUCUUGCUCUCUCGUAUUAGUGUGUGGGUGCUUGCGAAAAACUCUAUUUUCCCGAGCAGCCCGUGUACCUGGAGGAACAAAAUAACACGAAGUAGGGGUGCCGGCAAGCAAUCCCAUAGAAUCCAAACAAUAUUUAUCUAGGUGGUUCAUACGAUAUGCACAUGUGAAGGUUGUGAAAUCAAUUUCAGACUCAAAAAGUCGAGAGGCUAAAUUUGAAAUGAAUGAUCCAAGUAUAAGUGGAUGGUUGUAACUCAAAACGGCAUGAAAAUUUCGUGCAAACCAAUAUCCUAAAUUAACUUUAAUACCCGAAUGCAUGCACCACAAAAAGAACAGUUCAAUCUUAAUCAAAGCAGCUGAUGCGUCAUUUCUACCUGAAAAACAAAAUGCUAAAAAUCGGUGUAUGUAUUUUAAAGCAGGCUCAUGCACCCAUAAAUCUUUUGUGGUCUUUGGAUUAUAAAGUUGGUCAGAAUUAGUUAAAACACGAUAAAAAUGCUGAGCAUCGAAGUCAUUGGGAACAUCUAAAAGAGCAGAAUGAUAGGCAUCGAAUUGAAUGUCAUUAGCGUCGAUGAAACCCAUGGUAAUGUUAAAUUCUGAAACAGACAUCCGAAAGUUUUUUCCAAGCAAACGAAAGCACACUAUAUUUUGUGUUUCAACAGUUUGCAAUGCAUUUAUAUUGAAGCUAAAUGUGGUAUAAAACUCAUAUACUAAUUCAUAAUAUGCAUCACAAGUAAUAUUAGCAAAUAGAGUCCAACCAAUAGCAUCAAAAUAAUGGAGCACUGCAUCAUGAAUAUCUAGAAGUUCAAGAGUAGGGAAAUCGAUUUGCUUAUAGACCGGAAGCGAGCGUUGUCGGAUGCCGUUGUAUCGUGUUUGCUGUUCCGAUGUCGAAAACUCUAGAAAUCCUAGCAAACGACUAUCGGUAGGAAUAACAUUUGCUCGACUAGUCUGUUGCAUUGAUUUGCUCGGGGUGGUCGAACGUGCUCGUUAGGCGAGUCAGGUGGGGGAUUUCGUUCAACAGCUUCAGUACUGCUGUGCGGGGGCGUCGAUGGCUCACGUGUCAACCGUCGAUGACUUCGAGUUUGGCGUUGAGAGACUUGUUCAACAACGGUGGGUGUAGGCUCGACAUGGACGUAAGAAGUUUCGACUUCCUCUGGACUGCCCGAAGUGCUUGUGUCGGCCGGGGUUAGACUUCAUUGUAGGCGGGCUCUUAGUUGAGCGGCCGUUCGUCUCGGAGAAGGUGGAGAAGGGUCGUCGUCGGCUAACUCAACGACAGGAGGCGCGGAGAAACGGUGUCGAUUUUGAUUAAGUGAAACUGGGGUAUUGUCUGCCGCUUGGUUUCUAGUUCGGACCAUGGUAUCCGUGCGAGUGUCCCGAGUAGUCAGUUCUGGUGGUUCGACGAUGGCAGACUUGGCGGUGGCAGACGACAGCGGCGCACGGUUGCGGCGAAUGUGGUAGGGUGAUUUUGGACCGUUUUUGUGGAGGGUGGAGGUGGGGUGUUGAUGUUGGCGUUGUUUAAUGUGGGGGUGAGAGUUUUGGUGUUUCAAAGAAAAGAAAAAUAAAGGGAAAAAUAGGGGUUGGGGGAAGCGAAACGGCGGCGCAUGGAAGGCCCCGUUCGGCGAUGAUGGUGCGUCGCAGGUGAGAGGUCACUGCUCGGUGUGGUUCAGCGGUGGGAAGGGCGUCGGAUGGUGGUGGUAAGAGGGAGGAAAAAAAAAGAAAAGAAAAGAAAGAAAAGUAGAGAUGGGGCGUUGGCGUGGGGUGGGCUGGCGAGGUGCGGCGACGGUGGUGGACGACCGACGAAGGGAGUGACGGCGACGGUCGGCGACUUGGCUUGGUUUAGGGUUAUGUGUUGUUUGUGGAGAAGAGGAAGAAUAUGAGAGGAUUUGGGAAUUUAGGGAUUUUGGGUAUUUGAAUUUAUUUUUAUUUUUUUGUUUAAUUUUUAUUUGGGAUAUUGGGUAGGGUAAUUGGGUUAGGUGUAGGUUGGGCCAACUUUGGGUAUUGGGUUUUGUGUGGGUGUUGAGUGUGUAUGAGUAUUGGGUUUAGAUUUAUGUGGGUUUAAAGGAAAUGGGUAGUUUUGUAUUUGGGUUUGGGUUAUUUUAGCUUGUGGGUAAAUAGGUUUGGAUUUGGGUAUUGGGUUGAUUUUGGGUUUUGGUUUAUGUGGGUAACUUAGUUUUUAUGUUUUAGGUAUUUAGGUAUGUGGGUAAAUGGGUUUGGGUAGGAAUUUUAGUGGAUGAUGGUUUUUUUUUUUACUAUCAUCACAUUAACAAGUCGUGCCCACGCCACCUUUAUUAGUCAUCUUUUUGAAAAUUAAUUACUUCCACAGUAUUCCUGAAAACAUCAAAUUGACUAAGUUAAAUAAGAAUUUAUUUAUUUACAUCCUAAUUUACUUAAACUAAAAAUAAAUGAAAAUAAAUUUGGGUUGCCUCCCAAAAAGCGUUUUUUUAACGUCGUUAGCUCGACGACCUGUUAUUUAAACUUUUGGCUCAUCGAGAAUAAUCUCCUCAACUGUGUGUAUUUGAAAAUUCUCGAAAAAGGGUUUUAGUCGUUGACCAUUCACUUUAAAGCGCUUUCGUGUCUCUUCACUUUGAAUUUCCACUACACCAUUCGUAAAUAAAUUAGUAAUAAUAAACGAUCCUAUCCAUUUGAAUCGAAGUUUACCAGCGAAGAUUUUUAAAGUGGAAUCGUAUAGGAGCACUUUUUGUCCUAUUGAGAACUGCUUCCUAGUGAUGAACUUGUCAUGAAAUGCCUUCGUCUUUUCUUUAUAAACUCGAGCAUUUUCAUAUGCAUCGUUUCUGAUUUCCUCGAGUUCCUGGAUGUCUAAUUUCUGAGAUUUUCCCACAGACUCCAUUUCCAUAUUGCAUUGCUUAACUGCCCAAAAAGCCUUAUGCUCUAACUCGACCGGGAGGUGGCACGAUUUACCGAAAAUGAGUCGAUAAGGUGACAUGCCUAUUGGUCCCUUGUAAGCUGUUCUAUAGGCCCAAAGUGCGCCAUUCAGUCUUAAACUCCAAUCCUUCCUGUUAGGUUUAACCGUCUUUUCCAAAAUAGACUUGAUCUCUCGAUUUGACACUUCAGUUUGCCCGUUUGUUUGUGGAUGGUAAGCUGUGGCAAUUUGUUGAGUCACUCCAUAUUUCUCCAUAAGUGCACUUACGAGCUUAUUGCAAAAAUGUGUUCCUCUGUCACUGAUUAAUGCUCGUGGAGUGCCAUACCUGGAAAAAAUAGAAUUUUUAAGAAAGUCAACUACGGUCUUAGCAUCAUCAUUUCGAGUGGCCUUUGCCUCUAUCCACUUAGAGGCAUAAUCAACAGCUAAAAGUAUAUAAAAAUUACCGAAAGAAUAAACGAAAGGACCCAUAAAGUCGAUGCCCCACACAUCAAAAAUUUCACAAAUAUGAAUAGGAGUAAGCGGCAUCUCAUUUCGACGACUAAGGUUGCCAACUCUUUGGCAUUUUUCACAAGUUUUACAGAAAUAAAAGGCAUCACGAAAUAUGUUUGGCCAAAAUAAUCCACAUUAGAGAAUUUUGUGUGCGGUGCGUUUAGGUCUAAAAUGCCCUCCGCAUGCAUAAGAAUGACAAAAAGUUAAGAUAAACUGUACCUCUAUUUCUGCUACACAACAUCGUAUUACCUGAUCCGAGCAAUGCUUCCAAAAGUAAGGGUCGUCCCAAAUGUAAUAUCGUGCAUCCUUUCUUAUCUUAUCUUUUUUAGACCUUGGCAAAUCUGAAGGAACAGUACCUGUGACGAGAUAGUUUACUAUGUCUGCAUACCAAGGGUGUACUGCAUUUGCUGAAAACAGGUUUUCAUCUAGGAAGUUGUCCUUCAAUGGUGUGUCGUCUACUGGAAUCGGUAAUCGACUCAGAUGGUCAGCUACUAGGUUUUUGUAUCCCUUUUUAUCCCGAAUUUCAAAAUCGAACUCUUGUAGAAGUAGAAUCCACCUGAUCAGUCGGGGUUUUGCCUCUUUUUUCCCUAUUAAAUAUUUCAAAGCUGCAUGAUCAGGAAAGAUAAUUACCUUAGUUCCCAAUAGGUAAGAUCUGAAUUUAUCCAAAGCAAACACAACAGCUAAUAAUUCUUUCUCGGUCGUUGUGUAAUUGCUUUGGGCAGCAUCCAAAAUCUUCGAAGCAUAGUAGAUGACAUGAGGCUCUUUCCCUAUUCUUUGGCCAAGAACAGCUCAUACACUUUGGUCACUUGCAUCACACAUGAUUUCGAAUCGGAAGUUCCAAUUUGGUGGCUGCACAAUGGGAGCGGAGACUAAUUUCUGCUUCAGCACAUCAAACGCGUCCUUACAAGUCUGGUCAAAUUCAAAUUAUUUAUCCUUUUGUAACAGACUACAAAGUGGUCGCGUAAUUUUCGAAAAAUCUUUCAUGAAUCGUCUAUAGAAUCUUACAUGGCCAAGAAACGAACGAACUUCCUUCACUGAUGAGGGGUAAGGUAACGAGUUAAUAAUAUCCGUUUUUGCCUUAUCGACCUCGAUUCCUUUCGAGGAAACUAUAUGACCCAAAAUUAAUCCUUUGUCAACCAUGAAAUGGCAUUUCUCAUAAUUUAAAACACGAUUAAAUUCUAGGCAUCUUUGUAAUAUCUUAGCAAGAUUAUUGAGACAUUCGUUAAAAGAGUUACCGUAUACCGAGAAGUUAGCCAUAAAGAUUUUAAUGAUUUUCUCGACGUAAUCAGAGAAUAUGCUUACCAUGCAUCUUUGGAAAAUGGCCGGAGCAUUGCAGAGUCCAAACGGCAUCCGUCUAUACGCAAAUGUUCCGAAGGGACAUGUGAAAGUUGUUUUGUCUUGAUCCUCCGGAGCCACUGGAAUCUGGAAAAAUCCUAAGUACCCAUCGAGACAAUAAUAAUGGGACUUACCGGCUAAUCGCUCGAGCAUUUGAUCGAUGAAGGGGAGUGGAAAAUGGUCUUUUCAGGUAGCUGUAUUCAACUUUCUGCAAUCGAUGCAAACCCUCCAUCCAUUCUGUACUCGUGUAAGGACUAGCUCACCUAACUGGUUUUUCACCACUGUCACGCCAGUUUUCUUGGGCAAGACAUGAAUCGGGCUGACCCAAUUACUGUCGGAAAUUGGGUAUAUCAUUCCAGCAUCUAACAGUUUCUGGAUCUCAUUCUUAACUACCUCCAUCAUGGGCGGAUUGAGGCGCCUUUGAGCAUCCCUCUUUGGUUUCGUGUUGUCUUCGAUGGAAAUUUUGUGCAUACAAGUGGAUGGACUUAGCCAUUUUAUGUCGGCUAUCGUCCAACCAAUAGCUUCCUCAUAAUCUCUCAAAACUCGAACUAGACUUUCCUCCUCGUCUUUGGUUAACUUGUUUGACACUAUAACCGGUAAGGUGUCUUUCUCUCCCAAAAAGACGUACUUAAGAUGGUCCGGUAAUGCUUUAAGCUCCAAGACUGGUGGCUGCAAAAUAGAGGGCAACAUUUUAGUAUAGGAAGGUAAUAGUUCAAACUGGUUACCUUGGUUUGUCAACGAAGGUUGCAUAUCCAAGUGAUUGAUGAUUUCUUGCAACGGAUCUUCAAUGACUGCGAAUUCCUCGAGAUGAUGUAAAACAUUCAUGUCAAUGUUUCUGAAAAGGACAGUUUUCAACUCAUCAAAGUCAUGAUAUUCAGAAUAAGAUUGAGUUAAACAAUCUAAAAUAUUAAUGCUAGAAAUAUUCAAUAGUGAGUUAGGAUGACCCAUAGCCUCGUAAACAUUGAAUUUACAAUUUCGCCAUCAAACUCCAUGGUCAGCGUCCCACUUCGAACAUCUAUUUUUGCACUUGUGGUACUUAGAAAUGGCCUUCCAAGCAAAAUGUCAGACGAAUUAGUUGAAUUAUCAUCUUCUAUACUAAUAAUGUAGAAAUCUGUAGGGAAAACUAAUUCGUUAACUUUAACAAGGACGUCUUCAAGCAGCCCUUCAGGAUAGACAACUGACCUGUCCGCCAACUGGAUUAUUACUCCUGUCUCUUUUAAAGGACCCGCGUUAAUCAACUUAUAAAUAGAAUAAGGCAUAACAUUAAUAGAAGCCCCUAAAUCACACAUGGCUUUCUUAAUGCCUACAUUACCUAUCUCACAGGAAAUAGCAAACAUACCUUGGUCCUUGUAUUUGGGCGGAACUUUCUUUUACAGUACUGCGGAGACAUUUUCUCCUACAUUUACUCUUUCGUUACCUAUUAACCUCCUUUUGCUAGUACACAAUUCCUUGAGGAAUUUUGCAUAACGAGGGAUUUGUUUGAUAGCGUCGAGUAAAGGGAUAUUUACCUCCACCUUCUUGAAUGUCUCGAGGAUUUCUUUUUCCUCAUUCUCUUUCUUAUCCCUUGCAAGCCUCCCUGGAAAAGGAGGUGGGAUCACAACUGGUUUCUAAACUUCCAAUUCUGGCCUUGCUAUUAGAUCCGAGAUCUACUUUUCCCGUUUCUUUUCUUGCCCAUAAUUUUUGGCUGGAACUGUUUCUAGAACCUUUCUGCUACGAAGAGUGAUUGUACUGGCAUUUUGCCGAGGGUUUGGCUCUGUCUGGGAAGGUAAUUUACCUUGAGACUCCAAGCGAUUAACUGUCAUCGAGAGUUUACUAACUUGAUUAGUUAACUCUUGUAUUGAUGUGUCUGUCCUCUGUUGAUAUUUUGCGGCAUCGGCAGCAAGUCUUUCCACAAUAGCUUCUAGAGAUGUGUUCGGCUUAUGUUGUGGUGGUGGUUGCAGAGGUCUAGGUUGGGAUUGUGGAUUAUAUCGGGGAUUAGCUCCGUAAUUCAGGUUGGGACGAUCCUUCCACCCGGGAUUGUAGGUGUUGGAGAAAGGAUCAUAGCGUCUUUGUGGAAGUCUCGGAAAACCUCCGACAGCAUCUACAUGUGCUGUUGAAUUAUCGUUAAGGAUUGGGCACAAAUCCGUCGGGUGUUCAGACGUAGUACAAAUUCCACAUAGUGGGGUCAAACUCUUAUUUUCUGUAAGCAAAGAUUGAACAACAUUCGUAAGCUUAUCCAAUUUAUCUUCUAAAGUUGAAACGUUUACCCCAUUAACCCGUCUUGUCGGCUCUGAAUUUGGUCGAUACUGUUGAGAAUUUGCCGCCAUGGUGGAUAUUAGUUCUCUUGCCCUUUGAGGGGUCAUAUUGACAAGCGCUCCUCCGCUAGCAGCGUCGAUCAUCUUCAUUUCCAUAAGGAGCAAACCCUCGUAGAAAUAUUGAAGAAGUGAUUGUUCAGUCAACCCAUGUUGAGGACAACUCGCACACAGUUUUUUGUACCGCUCCCAGUAGUAGUAGAGCGAUUCACUCUCCAAUUGGCGAAUUCCCACUAUGUCCCUCUUAAGCUCGGCUGCUCGUGACGCUGGGAAGAAUCUGUCAAGAAAUACACGAGAUAAGUCAUCCCACGUUGUGAUAGAACCGGGAGGUAAGUAAAAUAAUCAUUCUUUUGCUGUAUCAACUAAAGAAAAAGGAAAAGCCCGAAGUUUGAUCUCAUCUUCGGGUACUCCCUGCGGUUUCAUGCUUGAGCAGACCAUGUGGAAUUCUCUCAAGUGAGUGUGUGGAUUUUCGUUCUUCAGGCCUCGAAAAGUGGGCAAAAGGUGAAUCAAGCCCGACUUCAAUUCGAAAGGGGUUCCUCCGGUUGGAUAGUUGAUGCAUAACGGUGUUUGCUCAUUGAGAGCAUCGGCUAGUUGACGAAUGGUUCGGUUUGCCAUCCUUUCUGAUUCACCGAGGUUGCCUUUUGUUUCAAAGAGUGGUUCAGUCUCAAGUUCAACCUCUUCGACUCGUUUCCCACGUCGAAUUGCCUCUGUGCGAAUUACUUCACUCAAUUUUUCAACGUCGGAUUCUAGGAUCCCCUGUCCUAGCUCAAUUCCUGAUUUACUUGCACGUUCAAGAGCUCCUGUCUCUUUUCGUCGUGCUCGUGCUGAUUUCUCGAUCUCUAGGUCGUAUUCGAGAUCUCCUGAUGAAGAUCUGGUCAUGAAGACGAUUUAAACAAUUGUAAGUGUUGCCAGUCCCCGGCAACGGCGCCAAAACUGAUGGCUGUCGAUUCCACCAAUAUAAACCUACACCUAAUUUAUAAAUUAAAGCAGUAUAGGGAGUAGGGUCGAUCCCACAGAGACUGGAAUUAUUGAAAAUUGAUUGUUUCUUGACCAGAUUAGUGUCUGGGCAGUUGUCGUGCCCGCGACGUUUAGGGGGGAAAUAAAAUAUGAAACCUGAAAUAAACACAAGAAAACGUAAAAAGUAAAAAGUAAAAAAUGAAAUAAAAAUAAAAAGAUGAAAUAAAAAUAAAUAACAAAAUAAUUUAAAGGAAAAUCAAUAAAACUUAGCUCAGCCUUAAGCACGGGUUUUCCCGUCUUUGACCCGUUCCUCGAAAUUAGGUGAACUCCUCUUUUCCGAUAAGCUAGUUAUAGCUACCAAGGACGCCUCGGACACCAACUCUUCCUUGUGUAAAUUAGUUAUGAAACGUCCUAUAACUAACCCUUACCGAUCGAACAACCUACGAAACGUUCGUGAUUUAGAACUCCGGCAGCUUUGCGUUCUAGAAGAGCCUUCGAACCAAUGCCCUCAAAUGUUGAGACAUUUAAAUCCGGUUACUACUUCCCUUGACGGAACCAAACAGCAAUCCCCACUUGGCACGCCAAUGUGUUCACGGAAGACCAAUUAGACAAUCGAUCCUUUCGGAAUUCCAACUGUACGUCUAGCCACACUAACUCAAACGACGUCUUUUUUGACUUAGUGUUGUCUUGACUUUGUGAGUUGACGAAGUCAUACUCUUAAUCCGGAGAAAUAAUAAAUAUCGAAAGUUGGAAGUUAAACAGCUCGUAUUCGUAACUCACGGGUUUUUUGACGGGGUUAACACCGGCUUAAAGCUGAAAGGGGUUUAGUGUGAUAUGAAUUUAAUCAUACUUGAAGGUUAUGGAAAUGAUAGAAAUUAUAUGAAAAAAGGUAGUGGAAAUGGAUAGGAAAAAUUGCAAAGAGAAUUAGACAAAUUUUGUAAAAAGAAGACAAAAUAAUCUAAUGCUCAAUUGAAUUAAGAAAAAGAAAACAAAGUGGAUAAUGGAAUUCCAAAAUGAAAUAGGAAUGUAAAGACAAU